AUGUGUGUGGUGAGGAAGCAAAUUAUGUGGACUAGAGUUUCUGAUCCUGGGGAUUCAUUCCCUUUUGGUUGAAGACAAACCCUUGGCUGUCUGAGCACACUC
rfam:Nicotiana attenuata strain TT chromosome 2, whole genome shotgun sequence.